UUUCCAAUGUUUACCAUGCUGUAUCUUUCAGGUUGCUGCAUUAUUACUUUCAUCACAUAGUAGGAGAAACAUCUAUUUGUGAGAAACGAGAAUUCAACCCUUCAAAGAAAGGCCGGAAAAUUUCAAAGGAACUUGUUGCAGGCAAUGGAGAAAAGGCCUGAACAUGGUGCCAACACAUCACUAUUGCCUUCUACUGGAUUUGGAUCCAGGUUCUCGAAUUUGAACAAGUCUUUCAAAUAUUCUCUCCGAUCUUUGCUCACUUCAUGCUCAAAGGAGGAAUUUUUUAAAGCAUUUUCAAGUUUCUCUAACAAU